rnacentral:rRNA from 1 species
UACGGGGGGAGCAAGCGUUGUUCGGAUUUACUGGGCGUAAAGGGCGCGUAGGCGGCCACCGCAAGUCGAUUGUGAAAUCUCCGGGCUUAACCCGGAACGGUCAAUCGAUACUGCGGGGCUAGAGUGCAGAAGGGGCAACUGGAAUUCUCGGUGUAGCGGUGAAAUGCGUAGAUAUCGAGAGGAACACCUGCGGCGAAGGCGGGUUGCUGGGCUGACACUGACGCUGAGGCGCGAAAGCUAGGGGAGCGAACGGG